AUCGGGCCGGCCCCGGCCCCGCCCCCGCGCCCUGCCGCUCAGUGCCCGAGAGCGGAGCUCCUGGGCGCUGACACCGGCUUCGGCCAGGCCAGAGCGAGAGUUUUAAAUUGCUGGGCUUAGUGGUAUGAGCACUCUUACAACCAGCACUACCUUGCCAGCCAUGUGGGUGAGCCACUUCAGAGGAAGACCUGCCAACUCUAAGUCCGCCUUCAGAUGACUGCAACCUCAGGAGAGAUCCUGAGUCAGAACUGCCCAUCUGCACUCCCGACUGUGUGACACACAGAAAGAAUAAGGAUAAUAAAUGUUUAUGGUUGUUUUAAGCCACUCA